UAUAAUAGGUGCUCUGUGCAUAAAGAGAGGGAGGAGACUCGAACAUCAAUUCGGGGAGCGUUUCAGCAUGAAAAAAGGCUUGAGGAGGAGAUCGGAAACUCGGUAAAAAGGCUUGGGAUGAUGGAGCUGAGCAAGAGAGUGUAGGAAGUCCGUGCCCGUGUGAAACUGCUGAAUUCCUGCAUGGCAAAGCAUGCCAUUACAAAGGUGGGAGCAGGGGUGGGAACGAAUGGGUCGGUGGAGUUGUGAGCAGGCUGAGGAGAGUUUACAUUAAUCGGCUCGGGAAAUCGAUAAAUGUUGGGCUUGCGCUUACUGCGUUUAUAUUCCUUUUUCAGCGAGACUGAGCUCUGUGGGAGCACAAACAGAAGGGAGAGAUGCCUGUGGUGUGGCCAACUCUUCUGGAUCUCAGCAGAGAUGAAUGCAAGAGGAUCCUUCGCAAACUGGAACUGGAGGCAUAUGCAGGUGUCAUCAGUGCCUUACGUGCACAGGGAGACCUUACGAAAGAGAAGAAGGAUCUUCUUGGAGAACUCUCUAAAGUGCUUAGUAUUUCAACGGAGCGACAUCGUGCUGAAGUUCGGAGAGCAGUAAAUGAUGAACGACUAACGACUAUUGCACACAAUAUGUCUGGACCAAAUAGCUCUUCGGAAUGGUCUAUAGAAGGUCGUCGACUGGUGCCGCUGAUGCCACGGCUUGUUCCACAAACAGCUUUUACUGUUACCGCUAAUGCUGUUGCCAAUGCAGCUGUUCAGCACAACGCAUCUCUUCCAGUUCCUGCAGAAACUGGAAACAAAGAAGUGGUGGUUUGCUAUUCCUACACAAGUACCACUUCAACCCCAACAUCUACCCCUGUUCCAAGUGGCAGUGUAGCGACAGUGAAGUCCCCCAGACCCGCCAGUCCAGCCUCCAAUGUAGUCGUCUUGCCAAGUGGAAGUACUGUUUACGUCAAAAGUGUCAGCUGCUCAGAUGACGAUGAAAAGCCCCGCAAAAGACGGCGAACAAAUUCUUCUAGUUCUUCCCCUGUUCUCCUGAAAGAAGUCCCGAAGGCAGUGACUCCUGUCACAAAAACCAUCACAGUGCCUGUAAGUGGCAGCCCCAAGAUGAGUAAUAUAAUGCAGAGCAUUGCCAACUCCUUACCACCACACAUGUCGCCUGUGAAAAUAACCUUCACUAAGCCCUCAACACAGACAACAAACACGACAACACAGAAGGUGAUAAUAGUAACCACCUCUCCAAGCUCAACUUUUGUACCCAACAUCCUUUCAAAGUCCCACAACUAUGCAGCAGUUACGAAACUUGUCCCAACAUCAGUCAUUGCUUCAACUACUCAAAAGCAGCCAGUGGUUAUAACUGCUUCUCAGUCCUCUUUGGUCAGUAGCAGCAGCAGCAGUAGCUGUUCCACUCCCUCCUGUACUGCAAAUACUAUUGCUGUGACUGCUGUGGUAUCAUCAACGCCGUCAGUGGUUAUGUCAACAGUAGCACAAGGUGUGUCUACAUCGGCAAUUAAAGUUGCCUCUACCAGACUACCUUCCCCAAAAGGUUUGGUUGGGAAUCCAACUCAGAUCUUAGCACAGUUUCCCAAACAGCAUCAGCAGUCCCCCAAACAGCAGCUGCACCAAAUACAACAGGCCCAACAGCAGCAGCAGCAACAGCAACAACAACAACAACAGCAACAACAACAACAGCAGCAGCAACAACAGCAGCUGGUGCAGUCUUCUGUAGCUCAACAGCAGCCGCAGCAAUCUCAGUUGCCGCCUGGCAUCAAGCCCACCAUUCAGAUCAAACAGGAAUCAGGUGUUAAAAUAAUCACUCAACAGGUGCAGCCCAGUAAAAUCCUUCCCAAACCAGUUACAGCGACCUUGCCCAGCAGUAGCAAUUCACCUAUUAUGGUGGUUAGCAGUAAUGGGACUAUCAUGACAACUAAACUGGUCACUACUCCCACUGGAACUCAAGCAACAUAUACGCGGCCAACGGUUAGCCCCUCUAUAGGGGCUCGGAUGGCUGGAACUCCAGGGGCUGCUACUUAUGUGAAAACUACAAGUGGUAGCAUCAUUACCGUAGUACCAAAAUCACUGGCUACACUGGGAGGGAAGAUUAUCAGCAGUAAUAUUGUUUCUGGAACUACAACCAAAAUCACUACCAUUCCAAUGACAUCCAAACCCAAUGUGAUUGUUGUGCAGAAGACUACUGGGAAAGGAACUACAAUUCAAGGGCUUCCAGGCAAAAAUGUUGUCACAACGCUGUUGAAUGCUGGGGGGGAGAAAACUAUUCAGGCGGUACCAGCAGGAGCAAAGCCUGCUAUCAUCACUGCCACAAGACCCAUCACAAAAAUGAUUGUUACACAGCCAAAAGGAAUAGGGUCCACGGUCCAGCCAGCCACCAAAAUCAUCCCAACUAAAAUUGUUUAUGGUCAGCAAGGGAAAACACAGGUUCUCAUAAAACCAAAGCCAGUGACAUUUCAAGCAACAGUUGUGAGUGAACAAACUAGGCAGUUGGUGACUGAAACGUUACAGCAGGCAUCAAGGGUAGCAGAGACAGGAAACUCAUCUCUCCCAGAAGUGAAAGAAGAACCACAAACCUACACUGAUAGCAGCUCUUCUUCUACAGAGUCCUCCCAGAGCUCCCAAGAUUCUCAGCCAGUAGUCCACGUGAUCGCUUCAAGAAGUCAAGAUUGGUCAGAACACGAAAUUGCUGUGGACACAAGCCCUACAAUAAUUUACCAGGAUGUAUCCAGUGAAUCUCAGUCAGCUACUUCCACCAUAAAAGCUUUGCUGGAACUUCAGCAGACUACAGCAGUGAAGGAAAAGUUAGAAUCGAAGCCAAGGCAGCCUACCAUUGACUUGAGCCAAAUGGCUGUCCCAAUCCAGAUGACCCAAGAAAAGAGGCAUUCUCCAGAAAGUCCUUCAAUUGCUGUAGUCGAGUCGGAAUUAGUUGCUGAAUAUAUCACAACUGACUCAGGAAGACAACACUGUAUUGGUUCACAUUCGGAAGAAUAUCUACACAACCAUAUAGUCAGUCAUCGGUCCCAGCCCCACCAGCAGUCAUCUCAGCCCCAGAGGACCCUGCUGCAGCAUGUGGCUCAGUCGCAGACAGCAACGCAGACUUCUGUGGUGGUGAAAUCUCUCCCUGCAUCCUCCACAGGCGCAAUUACCCAUAUCAUGCAGCAGGCCUUAAGCAGUCACACUGCAUUUACCAAACACAGUGAACAACUUGGAACUGAGGAAGGAGAAGUGGAAGAGAUGGACACCUUAGAUCCUCAGACUGGCCUGUUUUACAGAUCUGCCCUGACACAAUCGCAGACACAAAAACAGCAAAAACUGAGUCAGCCACAGCUGGAACAGACUCAACUGCAAGUGAAAACUCUGCAGUGUUUCCAGACUAAGCAGAAGCAGACAAUCCACCUGCAGGCCGACCAAAUCCAGCACAAACUCCCACAAAUGCCCCAGCUUUCUAUAAGGCAUCAAAAGCUAACCCCCCUGCAGCAAGAGCAAGCACAGACCAAACCAGAUGCACAGCACCCCCCACACCACAUGAUGGCCAAAGAAAGGCAACUCCCUACCUUAGUGGCACAGCCACAGCAAACUGUAGUACAGGUGCUUGCAGUAAAAACCACGCAGCAGCUGCCCAAACUGCAACAGGCACCAACGGCACAAAAAAUCUACGUGCAACCCCAACCCCCCCAGAGUCAAAUGCAGCUACCUGCCUCUUCAGAGAAACAGCCAGCAAGCCAGGUGCAGCAUCCAAUUAUCACGCAAGGAUCCACUGUUACAAAGAUAACUUUUGAGGGGCGUCAGCCUCCUUCUGUUUCAAAGGUAGCAGGUGGCAGUUCUGUGCCCAAACUGGCGUUGCCGGUUACCAGCCUAUUUCCCAUGCAGGCAUCCGCGAAGACAGCAGUAGCAGAUAUUUUGAGAGUGUCUGUGGUGGAAGCUCAGAUUGAUACAAACGUAGAACAUACGAUAGUGGAUCCCCCAAACAAGGCCAUGUCCACUAGUAAGCUCGCUAGCGAAGCAGAGUCGUCACCUUGUACCCAGGUGCCGAGGGUGACUGCAGUAGGGAUGACGGCAACUUCCAUCCCCCAGCAACAGACACGUGCAGAAUCCAGUUCCAGUCCUCCUGCUGUUGGUCCUACUUUAACAGAGAGGAAACUCGAUGCACAAGGAAUGCCUACAACAAACCAGUUUAUACACAUUCAGAAUAUAUCACAAAAGAAAGCUGAAGAGAGUUCAUCAGAAAUUGUUAUCCAGACUAUCCCUCACUAUUCCAUCCCUUGUCACUCCAGCUCCAACGUGGUAGUGGAACCCAGCGGGCUCCUGGAGCUCAACAACUUCACCAGUCAGUGCCUCGAUGACGAGGAGACGGCAAUGGAGCAAGAUGUGGACAGUAGCACUGAGGACGGCACUGAGCCCAGCCCCUCUCGAAGUUCUGCUGAACAAUCCUAAGGAAUUGGGACACUGGAGUGCACUUUAAAAUAUCUUGGGAUUUUGAGUAUCCAAGAUGCCCUCGUAUUGUGAUGUUUUAGAGCACUUUGCCUAUUAGAGUUGUUCAUUGGACCCUUGAAGCAUCAGUGUGUUUUAACAAGACGGUAUUGCAAAAGCUGCAUCUUAAAAAUUGUUUCCAAAAAAAAAAAGGAAAAAAAAAAAAAAAAAAAAAAAAAAAAAAGAUGUAGUUACCAAGAUUUAGUAAACCUGUGACAGUGGAAUGUACUCCUGUUAAAAAGCAAAUCUGCAGCGAAUUCUACAGCUCGUGCGAUUGAAGCCCUUGCCCAGAUACUGAAACAGCUUUCAGUGAAAAGGGUUCAUUAUUUUGCUGUGUCUUUUUGUUAGCUGUUGAGCAAAACACCAUCAAAAACAAACAAAAAAAAAGAGAAUGUUUAAUAAAUAUUUGUAUUUUUAAAUAGCAUGUGAGAGAAAAAGUGUCUCUGACAGUGCUGGAAAAGCCCCAGGAAUUUUGGAAUUGGUUCGCUUUCUUGCACUUGUGCUCACUUAGAGUUAAGAUUUUUUUUUUUUUUCAUAAGCCUAAAAAUAUAGUUUAUUUUUUUUAAAAUUCUUGUUGGUGAAUGUUUGGAAAUAAGCAAAAUCACUAACUGGUAGCAAAGUGGAUUUGCUAGUGGAUUUUUGUUUUCAUGCUUUACCAGAAGUAGGGUAUCAGUAUAUGAGGCAUUUCUUUGUGCCAUAAGCACAUUAAAUGCUCAUCUACCUUAGUUAAUCUUUGAUUAUUUAUUUAAAUAUAAAAUUUAAAGUGAGGCCAAGUUUAAAAAGUUCCUGUGAAACAGGCAGGUGUGUUAAUUCUAAUACAGAUGGGGGGGGGCGAUGAUGUGUUUUGCUACAAAUCAGUUUUUCAAAACUGGGGAUAUGUGGUUCAGCGUCUUUCCAAGUUGAACCUCCGAAUUUAGAAGUGAGUUAAGGCUUUUAAAAAUCUGUAUUUUACUCUUACAUGCUGUUUUUAAAGCGACCGUCGGGGGAGUUUAAAAGCUUAAAUCGGUAUACAGUGGUAGGUUUCGGAAAUUAGCCUUACGACUUGGCUUGUUGAAGCAAUACAUUGGGGUUUUGUGAUGGUUACAAGCCACAGAGAGAAGUCUGGGUUCGGAUGGGAUAAGAGAACCAGUUUUAAUACAUUCUGCUAAUGAAGACAAUACUUUUUUUUUUUUUCCAAAUGUAUAUAAAAACACGUUUUUAACUGUUUUGUAUAGAUUUCAUUAUAAAUAACUAAGCAUUUUAAGACUUUGACAUAUCAUUUAAUUGUAUAUACAUCUAUCAGCCUAACUGCCCACUUUUUGGUGCUGAAGUACUACUGUAAGUAGAUUUCCUCCAAAGCCUAAUACAGCUUUUUGCGUCAAGUCUUUUUUUUUAAGCUGUGAUUUUACUGUCAAUCCUGUAGUUAAGAUUGAAUUCCAACUAGAGGAACUCAAACAAAAUAUACAAAACCUAAAAACCCAUUUAUUUUCCUUGUCCUGAGAAUCCACCUAUGUGAGAACGUAGAGUAACCCAUAGAUGGUGCUGUUGGUUUUUCAUCCAACCUCCGUUAAUUUAUAAACUUAAGUCCCUAUGACUUUCAUACACUUUUUUUUUUUUCCUCCGCCUUCUGUUUUCUUUUCCAUCAGCAUUAGUUCCAAAAUAAUGUAGUUUAUUGUGGUGGAGAAAGUGUCCUGAUAAAUUCAACGCGCAAAUGCCGGAAUAGCGGGGUAGGAAACUUCAUUAUUUUUGCGUUACUUUGAUGUUGGAAUAGGUAUUGGUUUAGUUUCUGCUGUACUUAAUGCUCAGGAUGGAAGAGAAUAAUAUAUAUUAAAUGAAACAUAGCAUAUUUCUUUCUGUAGUUAAAAAACCCCAACAAAACUCAACCCUCUCAGCAUGCCAUUCUAGGUGUUUCAGGUUUUGAUAGAUGUUUGGGAGCGGUUACUCUUGUUUUAGCGAGAUAAUGGUGACCAACAAGAGUGACCAAGUUACGAUCUAAGUCCUGCAAGUUCCAGGUUGCUACAGAAUGGCAAAAAGAGAUUAUUGCCCCAGAUUCUACUGCUGGUGGGGUUGGACAGUCCGUUGUGCUUCGCAGGUGCCGGCGUACGGCACGGUCUGUCGUGUUCCGUACACAGUUACGAAAAGCCGAAAGCAGAUGGCACGCGGUUCCUCUGGCUUGUAUCAAAUUUUCAUUGUCACCUGGGGUCUCGCAGUAGAGUGUCCCUGGCCUAUCUACCACUGAAAGGCCAUGAGGAUAUGAAGUAGAGCAAGAUUUUUUUUCUGAGCACUUUUACCCAAGAACUUUGCCUUAAGUUACGGUUCCAGGUUUAGGUGAAGGCAUAUGCUCUCUCCAGCCAAAAAAAAGGAUGCUAAGAAAUGGCACAAGGUGAACACGACACUCCUAAUGCAUUAAGCAGAUUGUUGAGCUCUGAUCCAAUUUAUUCCCAUGUUUUAUGUAAGACUUUCGUUGGCAUCUUUAGUGAUGACUGUACAGCAAUGGCACGAACAACUGCAGUGAACUCUUUGACACUUCCUUGAAGGCAGCCGAUCUCUUAAAGAACACAAAAGCUUUCAGUGUUGCUAGGAGAGGUUUUCAGAUUGGCAAACUGAAGCACGUGGUGGGGGUAUCUAGGGGUCAGCUUUCCAUCUCUCAGUAAAUUUUUAGCCGUUUUGAAAUUUUCUGGGAUCCCGUUUUCUGUAGCUGCCUUUAUGAAAUGGCUUUUGUCAAAGAGAAAAGAUGUUCGUAUCCUCUAACUGGAGGUGAGGGAUUAGAACCUUGGGCUCUUUGCAUUAGCACUGAACCCUUCAGAGGGUGGUGGGCACGUCAGCCAGUCUCUCAUGGGCGCCGUAUGGGAUUUGGACCAUAGAAUGGUUUGAGUUGGGAGGGACCUCUGAAGCUCAUCUAAUCAAGGCACUUGAAUGCCAAAGCUACCUAGCGUGAAUCCUCCGUCAUGGAGCUUUUGCUAAAACUUUGAAAAUUCUCAGUGUGAGCACCUAAUUUAUUACUCGUUGGAGCAAAUGCUGUUGAGGAAUCGCUGUCUUUUGUGGUAAUGAAUCCAGCUUUUUGCAGCUGUCAGCCAGAGCCAUCCCGGAGGCUGGUAGGACUCCAAUACUUCAGGACUUCCUUCAUGUCGGUCUCUGCCAGAGGCCGUGUAAAGAUGCUGGAAGUCUCUUUGCACAGGUUUUUAUUGCUGUGAAGGGUGCUGCUUUUUUUAAUAUGUACAUACGGUGUGCGUAAGAGGCUGGUUGUCUCUAGAGAGGACAGCGCGUCUGUCUGUAGCCAUCACCGUGGCCGUUGACUGCCUCUGUAAGUGUAAACCCUUUGAGCUGCAUGUUCGGUAAGGCCAGGCUUUUCCUGCAGACUAAUUAAUCCUCAACUGCCAAGCUACUCUUUGAUAUUGCAGCCUUUUAUAAAAGGCAAAGCAAGCACACGUGCGGGGUAUCUUUUGCUCGGUGUCUGUUUCAGGCCUCUGUUUUCUUAAUUCUCUUUGUUCCCAGGAAGCUGCUUUCCCCGUAAGUUUAGUCCAGACCUGUAUUCUGUUCUGUUAUCACCCAUCCUUCUUGCGAGAAGAUAAAAGCUGUGUGUAAAUUCCAUAAUCUCCGUGGAGAGAAUGGGAAUGCUCGCAUCCCUUCCUUGCAAGAAACUUCCUGGUGCCCAAGACCUGAAUAUAGGAAAGGGCUGGGAAUGGUUCUUCAUGCACUCGUGUGGUCGGCAAAGUUGGCAGGAACCUCUGGAGAUCAUCUAGUCCAACCCUCUUUCUCAAAGCAGAGUGACCCGGGGCAGGUUGCUCAGGACCAUGUCCAGCUGGGUUUUUGGAAAUCUCCCGUAUUGGAAACUCAACCAGUGUUUGAUCACCCACACAUUCUUCUUUUUUUUUUUUUUUUUCCUAGUGUUUAAGUGGAAUUUCAUGGGUUUGAGUUUAUGCCCAUUAUCUCUUGUCCUUUCCUUGGUUACCACUGGGAAAAGUCCGUCUCCGUCUUCUUUACACCCCCGUUGGGUAUUUAUACACAUGGAGGGGUUCCCCUUUCAGCCUUAUGCCCACAGGAUGGCUGCAAAACCAGUGAUACAAAAUUCUUUGAGAAAUCACCUUUGGUUUAAGUUUCAAUAACCUGGCCCAAGACGUGACGCUUGUCUCAGCGGUGUUUGGCUUCUGACUUGAGUCCCCGCUGGUGGGAGGAUUUCAGCUGCAAGCCGUGCAAAAUCUGCUGCUUCCAGAGCUCUGGGAAAUAACCAUUAUAACCAGUUAUAACCAUUGCCGGGGCAGCUCGGAGGGAUGGUAGCCACGGGCUUUUGGGAGCGUGAAAAUAACACUGGGAGAUAGUUUGAAAUCAUACCCAGAGAGGCUGGAAUAAGAUUUUCCUGUCACAUGGAGAAGAUCUACCUCCUCCCAGCAUCAGGAUCAGGCACUUUCUAUGGGGUGUCUACAUGUCCCAGAGGCUGAAAACCAGGACUUUGUUCAAGGUUACAGACUUAUCCAGAAAUUAGUUUCUCCCAGAGAUACAAGAACUCAUUAUCUUAUGGGGUUUUUUUAUUUAUUUUAUUCUCUGGUGGGGUAUUUUUUUGUUUGUUUCCUGUCAAGAUUUUUGUUCUUUGUUUGAACUAAAUGUCACAGGGAGAUGUCAUAGCAAGCCUGGGCUAUUUAUAGUGGAAAGCAGCAGUAUCUUGACUUUCAAAGCCUCUAGCACAGAAUUAAAAGUGCAACUUUUCUGGUCAGGAAAUGGCAAAGGUUUGUUUGAAAUAAGCAGUAAAAGCAGAGCCUGGAGUAGAAACAGCAGCUUGGAGGUACUGUGAGGGAGGGGGAGUGCCUUUUUGGACACUGGCUCUGCGUAAAGCAAUACUGAUCCUGAGCCAAAUGUGAGAUUUUUUUAUAUUUUUUUUUUCUGUUGU